rnacentral:rRNA from 1 species
CCUACGGGUGGCAGCAGUGGGGAAUAUUGGGCAAUGGAGGAAACUCUGACCCAGCGACGCCGCGUGAGUGAUGAAGGUCUUCGGAUUGUAAAGUUCUUUUCUAAGGGAAGAAGAAAGGGACGGUACCUUAGGAAUACGCCUCGGCUAACUACGUGCCAGCAGCCGCGGUAAUACGUAGGCGGCAAGCGUUAUCCGGAAUGACUGGGCGUAAAGGGUGCGUAGGUGGUUUGACAAGUUAGUAGCGCAACUCCGGAGCUCCACGUAGGAACUACAGGUGUAGCGGUCAAAUGCGUAAAUAUAGGUAAGAACACCAGUGGCGAAGGCGGCUUGCUGGGUCGAUACUGACAUUGAGGCACGAAAGCGUGGGGAGCAAACAGGAUUAGAUACCCGAGUAGUC